AUUGAACGCUGGCGGCAGGCCUAACACAUGCAAGUCGAACGAGUGGCGGACGGGUGAGUAAUGUCUGGGAAACUGCCUGAUGGAGGGGGAUAACUAAUGGAAACGGUAGCUAAUACCGCAUACUAUCCGAUGUGCCCAGAUGGGAUGAGCUUGUUGGUGGGGUAAGGGCUCACGAAGGCGACGAUCCCUGGCUGGUCUGAGAGGAUGACAGGCCAUACUGGAAAUGAGACACGGACCAGACUCUUACGGGAGGCAGCAGUGGGGAAUAUUGCACAAUGGGCACAAGCCUGAUGCAGCCAUGCCGCGUGGAGGAAGAAGGCCUUCGGGUUGUAAAGUACUUUCAGCGGGGAGGCGUUACCCGCAGAAGAAGCACCGGCUAACUCCGUGCCAGCAGCCGCGGUAAUUC
rnacentral:rRNA from 1 species